rnacentral:misc_RNA from 1 species
AAGUCGUAACAAGGUAACCGUAGGUGAACCUGCGGUUGGAUCAUUACUGAUUUGCUUCUCUCUAGAGUUGAUCACCUUCGGGAGAUCCUCUUGAGGGAUUCAUACACCCCUUGUGCACCAUGAUGUUUUUUGGGUCUUUUCCUUCGGGAGGAGGCCCAGCUUUAUACAAAAACCAUAUCAAUUUGACUUAUAUCUCUAUGAAAAAUAGAAACAACUUUUGACAACGGAUCUCUUGGCUCUC